AUUCUAAUACACAUGGCAGACUGCUGCCUGGCAACAGGUGCACCAAAUCUCUUAUCAGUCAUCUCACCUCUCUGCUUGCUGAUCUGACCUGCUGAAUGACAACCUGAGCUCAUCUGCAGAACAGUCAGAUCUCUCUGUAGACGAAGAGCUCCAGAGGUUCAGCACAACCCCUGGCAGAGCAGGACUGUCCUACAAGCACACAGAGCCUUCCCCUCCAGCACCCUGCAGUGCUCUGGGCUGCAGCCAGCAGAAUGCAUGGCCACAGAAAUCCACGCUUGAUGCUCAGCACAAGAGUCAGAGAAGCAUCUGCAAUUCACUUGCCUCUGCCCAGGGCUGCUGCUGCCACACAGUCUGUGGGUACCUGUGACAACAAGGACUGGCCUUGGUGAUGCAAACAUGGAAACCAAGUCAGACUCAAAGUUUCUGUCCUGACCACUCUUUCUUUCAAUAAAAGAUUACUGAAACAAAAUAUUUUCAAUCACAAAUGCCAUUCUUGUACCCUGGCACAGCUGUUCAAACACAUACUAAUGUCACCCCCCAGUACAACCAGCCAGUCUGUGUACAUUAUGCUGCCCCAUCCUUGGGAAAAGAUGCCAUGAAAUCCCAAUGAGAGAGAUGCAUAAACCAUCAUAGGAUAUCAGUGCAACCCAAAUCCUGCACGACAGCAUCUCUAGCCUUGGCCAAAUGUUUCUAUUUGCCAUUUUGCUAGGAAAGUCAUCCAUAGGCACAUCCUCCAAGUUUUGUUGUGUUGACCUUACAGCCCAGUCUCUCAUGGGAUGAACAUAGUAGUGUUUCUUCACCAGGUGGUAAUGGCUGAGGGGGGUCAUCUCUGCAGGACAGUGUCAUCAUAUACAGCCUGGCGAAAGCCCCGGUACAUUUUUUGAGAUGAUAAUGCAGAAGCAACUAUUUCCUCUCCUCUUGAAGGCUGCAUUAGUGCUGUUAUCGGCGUUAUUCCUGCCUGCUGAUGCUCAGCACUGAGCAGCACACGAAAUGAAGGCUGCUCUCGCCACCUCGUGCUACUAUCGGUAAUUACAGGAGAUCGCUUAUGGGAUCCCCUAAUGCUUAAUACGCCUUCUCAAGAGCUAAUUCAAUUGUCAUCAAUAGAACUAGAUGGCAAAAAGUCCUGGAGUCCUGUUUGGUGCCAAACAGGAACAGUGCCAAUAGCAACACCGCAGAAAUGCAGUUUUUAGAGGGGACAGAAAAUAGUUGCUCUUUCCUCCAUUUGCAUCGUCUUUGCAAAGCCAGUGGGACGAGGUGUAGGGCUUGGUGCAGAUGCAUCCCCUAGGCUGAGCAUCCCACUUGCUUACCUCAGCACAACCAAUCGUGUGGUGGGAGCUUUGGAUCUGCAGGGCUGGCAGGAAGGGUCCUGCAGCUAACAUGCCAAUUCAGCUUUUACGUUCAGAUAUGCUGUCUAUCCUCCAGAAUAAAUCACUUCAAAGCUGGCUGGAAACUUCCCAUUGAUAUGAAUGGACAUCAAGGCUCCAGCACUGUGAUUCUGAAUCCCUCUGAGAUCGCAGGCCAACCUCCACCCAAAACACCCAUCUCCUGUAUAACACGAAAAUAACUUCCCAGCAUAACUCAGGUUCAGUGCAGGAAUUCGCUCUACAGCACAUGCUGUUAAGCCCUGGACUGCUUUUCACUUUACCAUUAAAUUAGGAGAAACUCUGAUAUAUAGACACGAUCAUUUGUAUUUAAGUACCCACGUUCCUCCUGCCUGGGCACAGGUGAGCUCUGGUAGGAGGCCUGCAAGGUGUGAGUGCUGCAGUUUGUGCUGAUGUCCUCAUGGCAGGGACACUGUGACACCAAUGGGCAGGGCAGAGGGCACUGCUGCCGUGAUGAGCACAUUACCACCAGGAGCAGCCUGACCCCCCAGCACCAGGAUUUGGGACAUCACCCCUGCUGUUGUGUGGGGGACCUUGGCACCAUGGGACAAUGCAAACUGCGUUCAGGAUACCCAGCUGUGGGACCAUGGGCACAGCAAAAAGCACCUGAGAGGAGCUCUGACCUCUGAUUGUUACCACUGCUGCAUUUGACAGCAAAGGAAUCGGCAGACAACCAGCAGGGCAAAAAUCAGCAUCUGGAGCAAUUCAAUUUGAGAGUAAUUGCAUAAAUUACAUAAUGAGAAAAGAUUAGCUGAAUUAGGGUUUCUGUGUGAACUCAGAAUGCAGAUAGCAUGACCACAGCCUGUACCUUGAGCACGCUCCUGCUCUGUAGUAAUGCUCCGUGUUACUGCACAUAGCAUCUCAUCUGAUGACAGAAAUGCUUCGAGUUCCAACAACCAAACUGAGGUCUGCAGAAUCAGUUCUUUCCCCAAGCUGAGCUGCAGAAUCCGGCAGCACCUCCAUGACACCGUGAGCACCAAGCAGAGCUGGAGCCUGACAGAAGUGAAGCAACAUCUUGAGCUGACACAGCCACAUGGGGCUGACCUUGGGUUGCUUCUGACUAAAAUGAAUUAGCUGGCAGAGAGAAUCAGGUGGAAAGC